rnacentral:rRNA from 1 species
UACAGUCAUACCACCCUGAACGCGCCCGAUCUCGUCUGAUCUCGGAAACUAAACAGGGUCGGGCCUGGUUAGUACUUGGAUAGGAGAAAAAGAAGGAUGACUCUGUGU